GAUAGUAAUGCGAAUUGCAGAAUUCCAGUGAGUCAUCGAAUCUUUGAACGCACAUUGCGCCCUUUGGUAUUCCGAAGGGCAUGCCUGUUCGAGCGUCAUUAUCACCCCUCAAGCCCCGAUGCUUGGUGUUGGACGGCCGGUCGAGCGAUCGACCCCUCCUAAAGACAAUGACGGCGGCCUGUGGUUCCCCCGGAUACACUGAGCUUUUCACCGAGCACGUAUCGGACAAGGGCACCCGGGACCCGGUCCUCUCCUUUCACAAGGAAACUUUCUAUGGUUGACCUCGGAUCAGGUAGGAAUACGCGCUGAASUUAAGCAUAUCAAUAAGCGCAGGAAAAGAAACCAACAGGGAUUACCUCAGUAACGGCGAGUGAAGCGGUAAUAGCUCAAAUUUGAAAUCUGGCCUCUUGGGGUCCGAGUUGUAAUUUGUAGAGGAUGUUUUGGGUACCGCCCCGGUCUAAAUUUCUUGGAACAGAAUGUCAAAGAGGGUGAGAAUCCCGUCUUGGACCGGCGGUAGGGCCUGUGUAAAACUCCUUCGACGAGUCGAGUUGUUUGGGAAUGCAGCUCAAAAUGGGUGGUAAAUUUCAUCUAAAGCUAAAUAUUGGCCAGAGACCGAUAGCGCACAAGUAGAGUGAUCGAAAGAUGAAAAGCACUUUGAAAAGAGAGUUAAACAGUAUGUGAAAUUGUUGAAAGGGAAGCGCUUGCAACCAGACUUGAGCGCGGCGGUUCCCCCGGUCUUUUGGCCGGGCUACUCCGUCGUGUCCAGGCCAACAUCGGUUCUGAGGGUCGGUCAAAGGCCUUGGG
rnacentral:rRNA from 1 species